rnacentral:rRNA from 14 species
AGACAGGUUAGUUUUACCCUACUGUUGCGCCGAUCCCGCCAUAGUAAUCCGGCUCAGUACGAGAGGAACCGCCGGUUCAGAUAAUUGGUAACGCGCUCGCCUGAAAAGGCGAUGGCGCAACGCUACCAUCUGUGGGCUAAUACCUGAACGCCUCUAAGGUAGAAGCCAUGCUAGGCGCGGGGUCAUUUUGCCCGAUGACCGUCACCCGAUUACCAAUAAGCAGGUUUAUUCUUGCUCAGGAUCAUAUCCGAUGGCUCACGCCAUGCAUGACAAUUCCACUCGUUCAUUGGGGUUCAAACCUCGCAGACGACUUGGCCCGAACGCGGUACUGUAAGUGGUAGAGUGG